GAUGCCCACUUGUGGGUGGAUUAGUGGCGAACGGGUGAGUAACACGUGAGUAACCUGCCCUUAACUCUGGGAUAAGCCUGGGAAACUGGGUCUAAUACCGGAUAUGACUCCUCAUCGCAUGGUGGGGGGUGGAAAGCUUUAUUGUGGUUUUGGAUGGACUCGCGGCCUAUCAGCUUGUUGGUGAGGUAAUGGCUCACCAAGGCGACGACGGGUAGCCGGCCUGAGAGGGUGACCGGCCACACUGGGACUGAGACACGGCCCAGACUCCUACGGGAGGCAGCAGUGGGGAAUAUUGCACAAUGGGCGAAAGCCUGAUGCAGCGACGCCGCGUGAGGGAUGACGGCCUUCGGGUUGUAAACCUCUUUCAGUAGGGAAGAAGCGAAAGUGACGGUACCUGCARAAGAAGCGCCGGCUAACUACGUGCCAGCASCCGCGGUAAUACGUAGGGCGCAAGCGUUAUCCGGAAUUAUUGGGCGUAAAGAGCUCGUAGGCGGUUUGUCGCGUCUGCCGUGAAAGUCCGGGGCUCAACUCCGGAUCUGCGGUGGGUACGGGCAGACUAGAGUGAUGUAGGGGAGACUGGAAUUCCUGGUGUAGCGGUGAAAUGCGCAGAUAUCAGGAGGAACACCGAUGGCGAAGGCAGGUCUCUGGGCAUUAACUGACGCUGAGGAGCGAAAGCAUGGGGAGCGAACAGGAUUAGAUACCCUGGUAGUCCAUGCCGUAAACGUUGGGCACUAGGUGUGGGGGACAUUCCACGUUUUCCGCGCCGUAGCUAACGCAUUAAGUGCCCCGCCUGGGGAGUACGGCCGCAAGGCUAAAACUCAAAGGAAUUGACGGGGGCCCGCACAAGCGGCGGAGCAUGCGGAUUAAUUCGAUGCAACGCGAAGAACCUUACCAAGGCUUGACAUGAACCGGAAAUACCUGGAAACAGGUGCCCCGCUUGCGGUCGGUUUACAGGUGGUGCAUGGUUGUCGUCAGCUCGUGUCGUGAGAUGUUGGGUUAAGUCCCGCAACGAGCGCAACCCUCGUUCUAUGUUGCCAGCGCGUUAUGGCGGGGACUCAUAGGAGACUGCCGGGGUCAACUCGGAGGAAGGUGGGGACGACGUCAAAUCAUCAUGCCCCUUAUGUCUUGGGCUUCACGCAUGCUACAAUGGCCGGUACAAAGGGUUGCGAUACUGUGAGGUGGAGCUAAUCCCAAAAAGCCGGUCUCAGUUCGGAUUGGGGUCUGCAACUCGACCCCAUGAAGUCGGAGUCGCUAGUAAUCGCAGAUCAGCAACGCUGCGGUGAAUACGUUCCCGGGCCUUGUACACACCGCCCGUCAAGUCACGAAAGUUGGUAACACCCGAAGCCGGUGGCCU
rnacentral:rRNA from 1 species